UACGGAGGGUGCAAGCGUUAUCCGGAUUCACUGGGUUUAAAGGGUGCGUAGGCGGGUUGGUAAGUCCGUGGUGAAAUCUCCAAGCUUAACUUGGAAACUGCCGUGGAUACUAUCAAUCUUGAAUAUCGUGGAGGUAAGCGGAAUAUGUCAUGUAGCGGGUAGAAUGCUUAGAUAUGACAUAGAACACCAAUUGCGUAGGCAGCUUACUACACGAUCAUUGACGCUGAGGCACGAAAGCGUGGGGAGCAAACAGG
rnacentral:rRNA from 1 species